GAAUGAUUUUGGCACGAGCCAAAGUUUUAAGAUACUCAUAAGCCAUGUUGAUUACUCGAUUUAUAUGAAUUGAUUUUAUUUGGUUGAAACAAGUUGAAAAGUGAUGAAUUACAGUAUGUUAACUAUUUUAUCUGUCUCCAUUUACUCAGCUUUAGAUAUUUUAGAUGGUAUUUGUUUACUCACUAGGAUUUUAUAAUCUCACCACCUUCCUUUCCACCUAUUUCAGGCUCAGGAUAGUCGGUAGAUAGCUCACUUUGUUGAGGGCUACAAUUGGACUUGCAUCCUCAAAAACUAUAGGUUUACUGCUUUUAAUACUUUUGGUCGUUCGUGGGCCCAUGUGUCACUGUAAAUUAAAUUUUAUACUCUAGCUUACUGUAUUAUGAUAUAUGUAAAUUUAUUUUGCUUUUACAUUGUAAAAAUUAUUUAUGCAGUGUUCUAAAAAUAUUGUUUUAUGAGAAGAU
rnacentral:lncRNA from 1 species